AGAGUUUGAUCAUGGCUCAGGAUGAACGCUAGCGGGAGGCCUAACACAUGCAAGCCGAGCGGUAUAGAAUCUUCGGAUUUUAGAGAGCGGCGUACGGGUGCGGAACACGUGUGCAACCUACCUUUAUCUGGAGGAUAGCCUUUCGAAAGGAAGAUUAAUACUCCAUAAUAUAUUGAUUGGCAUCAAUUAAUAUUGAAAGCUCCGGCGGAUAGAGAUGGGCACGCGCAAGAUUAGUUAGUUGGUGAGGUAACGGCUCACCAAGACGAUGAUCUUUAGGGGGGCCUGAGAGGGUGAUCCCCACACUGGUACUGAGACACGGACCAGACUCCUACGGGAGGCAGCAGUGAGGGAUAUUGGACAAUGGGUGCAAGCCUGAUCCAGCCAUCCCGCGUGAAGGACGACUGCCUAUGGGUUGUAAACUUCUUUUGUAUAGGGAUAAACCUCUCCUCGUGAGGAGAGCUGAAGGUACUAUACGAAUAAGCACCGGCUAACUCCGUG
rnacentral:rRNA from 1 species